AUGGUCGCAAAGUACUCAACAAAGCUUCACUUUCUUCUUCUUCUUCUUCUUCUGUUAACCCGUUCUGCAACUCCAUUAAACUUAGUUUCUCCAGCUUCAGUGGCAGUUAUUACCCCACCAUACUCACAAAAGGGGAUGCCUUUUUCGAGGGCGGAUUCCUCCGCCUCACCAAAAGCGGGGAAGACCAGCUAAAGAACGGCAGCGCCGGCCGAGCCACCUACAGCCAACCCUUCCUCCUCCACGAAAAGGCCACCGGAAAACUCGCGGACUUCACCACUAGUUUCGACUUCGCCAUCGACUCGCUCAAACAAUCCACCUACGGGGACGGCCUCGCCUUCUUCAUAGCCCCAAGCGGGUCCUUCCUCCUCAACGACACAGAACCAGCAGGUGGUAACAAUCUCGGCCUCCCCGUCAACUUCGCAUCUCCAAACGACACCGCUUUCGUGGCGGUGGAGUUUGACAUCUACGCGUAUUCAACGACCGACCCCCCGUACGAUCACGUGGGCAUCGACGUCAACUCUCUCAACUCUACCAUUUUCAGACGUUGGAAAGGAGGUAUUAUGGAAGGAAAAACAAAUAAUGCUACCAUUAGUUACAAUUCCACUUCAAAAAACCUGAGUGUUGCCUUCACUACUUUUGCACCCGAUUCGAAUGUUACACAAGAGAUGACACAUUUUUCUGACAUUAUUGAUCUGAAACAGUACUUGCCCGACUUGGUCGUUGUCGGGUUCUCUGCUUCAACCGGUAACUAUAUUUCUCUGAAUAAGAUCAUCUCAUGGAAUUUCAGUUCAACUUCACUAGGUGAUCGUGAUACUAAUUCUAACCGCAAGUCAGGAAAUAAGAGUAUAGGACUAGCAGUUGGGUUGGGGAUUGGUGGCUGUGCUGUGUUGUUCGGUGGGUUGGGUUUGGGUUGGUUCAUCAUGUGGAAGAAGAGGGAAAGAGCUAGGGAAAGUAGUGAUGAAGAUCAUACUAUGGUUCAUGAAUUGAUUGAUGACGAAUUUGAAAAUGGGGCUGGCCCGAGGAAGUUUUCGUAUAGCGAAUUGGCUCGGGCCACGAGUAAUUUUGAGGAGGGAGAAAAGCUUGGGGAGGGAGGAUUCGGUGGGGUUUAUAAAGGUUUUAUACCUGACUUGAACUCAUAUGUUGCUGUUAAGAGAAUCUUGAGUAGUUCUAAACAAGGACCGAAGGAGUAUGCAUCCGAAGUAAAGAUCAUCAGUCGACUUAGGCAUCGCAAUCUUGUGCAACUGAUUGGCUGGUGCCACGAAAGAAAAUUCUUACUUGUGUACGAGCUCAUGCCGAAUGGGAGCUUAGAUUCUCAUUUGUUUAAAGAACAAAGCUUGUUAACUUGGGAGGCAAGAUACAAAAUUGCUCAAGGUUUGGCCUCUGGGUUGUUCUAUCUACAUGAAGAGUGGGAGCAAUGUGUGCUGCAUAGGGAUAUUAAAUCGAGCAAUGUUAUGUUAGAUUCAAAUUUCAACGCAAAACUUGGGGAUUUUGGGUUAGCUAGACUUGUGGACCACGGAAAACAGUCGCAAACCACAAUCUUGGCUGGAACCAUGGGUUACAUGGCUCCGGAUUAUCUCAACACCGGAAAGGCUAGCAAAGAAUCAGAUGUCUACAGCUUCGGAGUUGUUGCUUUGGAAAUAGCAUGCGGGAGAAAACCCAUCGAUCCAAAGUUUGGAAGUAUUCAAAGCAAUAUGGUUGAGUGGGUUUGGGAGCUUUACGGAGAAGAUAGAGUCAAUGAAGCAGCUGACCCAAAACUAUGUGGGGAUUUUGAUAAGAAACAAAUGGAGUGCUUGAUGAUUGUUGGGUUGUGGUGUGCUCAUCCAGACUACAACAUGAGGCCUUCAAUACAACAAGCAAUUCAAGUGCUUAACUUCGAGGUACCGUUGCCGAAUCUCCCAUCAAAGAUGCCGGUGGCCGUCUAUUUUGCUCCUCCGAAAUCACUCUCAAUGUUGUUUAGAGAUAUUAGUGAUUCUCAAGGAGGCCAAACUGAGUUGUCUUCAGGCCAAACUAACUCCUCACAGUUCAGCGCACCUUCUUCUACCACAAAUUCUCAUCCAAAAAUUUCACUUGGGUAAGAAAGAAGCCUAACUAAAUAAUUUUGAUUCUAAACUUUUUAAAUUUUUUGUAAUUCCACUG